CUGGGUUGGGAGGGGCAGGACAGAGCCUCCAGCUGGACCCCCUUACUCAUGCUUGCACUGUGCAAAGGGACAGACGGUUCUCCUUGGGUCGGCUGCCACUCGUUCAUGCCCCCCCCCCGCCUAGGGCCACAAUGCCUGGUGGUGGGGGGGUGGGGGGUGGGUGCUGUGGUAUCCUGCUUGGCUGGGACACAUGGUUUGUAAGAAAUUAAAGAAAAGAGGUUGGAGACUCCCCUGUGCUUGUGUGUUCCUAGAAGGGCUGGCCCUGGGCCCCCAGGUAUGUAGCCUCCCACCUCCUGGCCAUCCUGGGGGCCAGCCCUAGCCCAGGCAGGUUCCAAUCAGACUGUUCUAGGUGGUGUGACCACAGCAGCUGGCACUGCCCUGCUACUCUCCUGUAGGAAUGGGUAGGGCUGGGAGGGGAUAACAUCUGGCUCAGUACUGUCCCUGGGGAAGGACCAAUGUGAGUAACCAACCCAAAGCAGUGAGGCUGGGACAGGCCAGGCUGGGACACAGGUGAGAUCUGGCAGGACGGGACAUCGGUAGGUAUUCCUGAGGCCAAGAAGAGGCAGUUUGAGUAACUGAGGCUGUUACUUUGGAUACAGAAGACAAGGAAGGGCCCAUCUUAGAGGGGGUGACACUUGAGUAUUGAAAUGUUAAAUGAGGAUCCAAUUAUAGGAAGACACAGGGGGAGAGGUUGCCAGGAAGAGUGCCCUGCAGGCAGGCCAGAGUUCAGCCUGGAGGGCCAGCAACUCCGGAUCAGCACACCUGGUUUCUAAGGGGUCAUGUGGCUGAGGCGGGUGGAGGAGGCAGAGGAGCCUGGUUUCUAUGAGGCAUCUGAGCUCUAGCCUUGACUUUACAUUUCUGAGUUCCAAGUCCAUAUGCUUAGUUUCUGGAGCUGGGUGUGGCGCCUGUCCCUAGACACCUGAUUUCAGGGCCGAGCCUUAAACUGGCUCCUGGUUCCCAAACCUGGUUGGAGUGGGGCCGUGCCUGGCCUGGUCCAAGGUCUGGGCCAGGUUAGACCACCCUGUCCCAUCCCACUUUCAGCCCCACAGGCCUCUUGCUGCUGCUGCUGCCACUGCUGUUCUUGGCUGCCCAGUCCAUCUGGCCACAGACAGUACUUGUUGCUUCCGCCACUGGCCACCUACUGUGGAUGCAGUGGAAGGGCUAGAUGUGAUGUCUAUGGUUCAAUCUUGGAUCUCGGCCCUGGACUUGGGAUGGGGGAGGGUGGGGUUGCGCCAUGGAUGAACAGCCCCUGCUUACUCUGUCUCCAUCUAUGGCUGGGUGCACUUCUGCAGUGCCUCCCAGUGUCCCUGAAGAGGCCUGGAGCAGCAGUCCCAGGUCACAACUGCAAAAUGAUUGAUUGUCCAGCGGACCCAAAUGCACACCUGAAGAGCCUUGGGAUUGGUCUGGAGAGCAUCCUGAGGGGACUGAACACUCCAGUGUUAAACAGCAAUUAGAUGUAGGAUGCUGACAUUCGUGGGGCUUGAGAGUGAGUCUGUAGUCACGCUCAAAAGUGAUUUUUGACUGGAUCACAGAGUGCAGGGGGCAUGAUCAAACCUGCAAAAGUGGUGGAAGGUUUUGGGCUUACAAGAAACUGGCAGGGACAGGGAUUCAGGGAAUUCACAUGAGAAGGCGUGGCUGGGUCCCACUCCCUAGCCACUGAACCUGUGGCUACGCAAGUCUGGGAGAGAACGCACGCCUUCCUCCUGCCUGUGAUCAUGUGUUGAGUAUAGGUGAAACUCUAGACUCCUGCAGGAAAGAGCUCAUUCUCAGCAGUAUAUAAAUAAUCUGAUGUCCACUCGAUGGAGAAAUUAUGCCCUCGAUCCCUGGAUUCUGCCCCAGUAGAAGACUGAUUUGGACAUGGGGCCUUUGGGCUUCCCUGAUUCUCCAUUUCUUCUCCUGCAGCCUGUAUCAUCAGCAGAAUCCUGUCCUAUUGGUCUCCUUUUUUUGCUUCCUCACCUUUCUGACUUCAGAGUAAAACUACAUAACCCGUGACACCUACUAGGAUCUGACAGAGUAUCUAUGCCAUAUAUGUACAGCCCUGGUGUCCAUGUGCUGUGUGUGACUUCUGCCUGGCCAUUCUGGACAGUGCCAUCCCUGAAAAGCUGCUUUCUUGUCUCAUGCAGAAAGCUGUCCAGAACCUCCUGGGAAAGGUGGCUAGAUGGCCAAGCGGAGACCUCGGAUGCUAGGCUCAGUAGUUUGAACUUUUCCUGUGGGCUAGGGGACCCAUGGAAGGUUUUUGAACAGGUCUCUGGAUCAAGAGAAGUCAUAUCUGGACCUGAUAUAGAGACUAAUAGAGGACCUGGACUUGAACUUGAUGCCAUGAUUAGAUCAGUCAUUUGGCUAGUAACAAGAGGAAAACAGAAUGAGAAGUCAGAGAAAUUUGAAGCAAGAGGACUUGAAGUGCUAUUGCCAACUUCGAAGAUGGAGGGGGCCCAACAAGGAAUAUAGAUUGCCUCUAGAAGUUGAAUCCAGAAUGACUACCCUACCUAUAAAGCCUGCUGCCUUGCCCUGCCUCUGCCUCAGCCCUGGUCCUGGAGCAUUCUUCUGUGAGGAGUUCCAAUUUAUCCAGCUGGGGAGGGGAUGAUGAUGGCAAUCUACAAUACACACUGAGGGGUGAUGCCAGCCAGCUUCUGCCCUAGCAGCAAAUUCUACGAUUUUGCAUUCCCAAGAUGCAUUCACUACCUGGGACAGUCCUGGUAGAGACUGAGGAAGGUAAAGGAAGUCAGGGCAGAAGAAAAGUGAGGGCUAGAAGUCAAGCUGUCUGGACAUCAUCCAGAUGACACAAAUGUACAAAGACAUCACAAGAAAAAAUACGGAUCAAUAUUUAAUAUGAACAUAGAUAUAAAAAUCUUCAACAAAAUUUUGCCCUUAGCAAACCAAAUCCAGCACUAUAUAAAAAUGAUUAUGCAGCAUGGCCAAGUAGGAUUUAUCUAAGGAAUGAAAGGUUGGUUUUAACAUCCAAAAUCAAUUAAAUGUAAUACAGUAUAUUAAUAAAGAACAAAAAAACUCAUUAUCAUUUCAAUAGACACAGAAUCCAACACCCUUUCAUAAUAAUUUUUAAAAGUGUAAGAAACUAGGAAUAAAAGGAAAUGUCUUUAACUUGAUAGUUAAUCAAAGAGCAUCUGUGAAAAAUUCACAGCUAACAUCAUACUUAAAUGGUAAAAGACUGGAUGUUUUGCCCCUGAGAUCAGGAUGUCUGCUCCCACCAUUUCUAUUAACAUUGUACUGAAAGUUCUAGCCUGGGCAAGAAAAAGAAAUAAAAGGCAUCCAGAUUGGAAAAGAAGUAAACUAUCUCUAUUUACAGACCCAAAAACUAUUAGAGCUAAUAACUAGUUCAACAAGGUUGCAGAAUAUAAGAAUAAUGUACAAAAAUCUAUUAUGUUUCUUAUCACCAGCAAAGAAUAAUGCAAAAAUGAUACAAAGGAAACAAUUCCAUGUAUAAUGGCAACAAAAAGAAUAAUUAGAUAUAAAUCUAACAAAAAACAGUAGCAUUUCUACACUGAAAACUAUAAAACCAUUGAAAG